rnacentral:rRNA from 1 species
AUUGAACGCUGGCGGCGUGGAUUAGGCAUGCAAGUCGUGCGGAAAGGCUCCUUCGGGAGUACUCGAGCGGCGAAAGGGAGAGUAACGCGUGGAUAUCUACCCCCUGGUCUGGGAUAGCGGCGGGAAACUGCCGGUAAUACCAGAUAAUGUCUGCGGACCAAAGGUGUGAUUCCGCCGGGGGAUGAGUUCGCGUCCUAUUAGCUAGUUGGUAGGGUAACGGCAUACCAAGGCAAAAAUGGGUACCGGGUGUGAGGGCAUGGCCCGGCUCACUGGGACUGAGACCCUGCCCAGACACCUACGGGUGGCUGCAGUCGAGAAUCUUCGGCAAUGGGCGCAAGCCUGACCGAGCGACGCCGCGUGCGGGAUGAAGGCCUUCGGGUUGUAAACCGCUGUCAGAGGGGAGGAAAUGCGUAGGAGUUCCCUCUUACGUUUGACCUAUCCUCAGAGGAAGUACGGGCUAAGUUCGUGCCAGCCGCCGCCGUAACAC